CACAGGAAAACGUAUGAGCUUCUGAUUUUGGCUUCUUUUGUUGAGUUUGCAUGACAUGUGGGCCAGAUUACUUCUGGACCAUGUUGCUAAAUCGUACUGAGCGUGAACCUGAACAAAACCAGUGUCUUUUGCUCUAUGCAUGGGGAUUCAUUAGCAGUGUCUCCUGAACCACUAUCACUUUCUUUUGCUGAAUGACAUUUUGAAGCCUUGGCACGAUCCUUUGCCCGCACUCCUCCUUUCUCCUUGUUUUUUACACAUCAAAGUACGUUUUGAUGUUUUUAUAUUUGACUAUGAGUUUAAAGCUUUGGCUUUCAAUUUCCCAGCUUAAUGUUGGGGGUGAGUGUUAAUGUGGAAAGGUCCAACAUGUCUGUUUUGCAGAUAUGUUGGUGGAGCCUUUGAUGUUGAGUCCCUUGGGGAGAAUUUACUUGGUCAACUUGCUGGAAAUCAGGGAAUUUUAGUGAAUGUGUAUGAUGUCACAAACUCCUCGGAUCCCUUAAUCAUGUAUGGUCACCAAUAUCAAGAUGGUGACAUGUCUCUUUCUCAUGAGAGCAAGCUUGAUUUUGGAGAUCCUUUUAGGAAGUAUCAAAUGAUAUGCAGAUACCAUCAGAAGAUGAGUUGUCAUGGACAGCGCUCACCACUACGUUCUUGUUCUUUGUGAUUGGUUUACUGGUAGGUUAUAUCUUAUAUGGUGCAGAAAUUCACGUUGUUAAAGUUGAGGAUGAUUUCCAUGAAAUGGAAGAACUAAAAGUUCUAGCAGAAGCCGCAGAUGUAGCAAAAUCCCAGUUUCUAGCUAUUGUUUCUCAUGAAAUUAGAACAACCAUGUGAAUGGCAUCCUUGGAAUGCUUGCUCUGCUUCUAGAUAUGGAAUUAAGCUCAACUCAGAGGGAUUACGCUCAAACUGUGCAAGCCUGUGGGAAAGCAUUGAUAGUGUUAAUCAAUGAGGUGCUAGACUGUGCAAAAAUUGAGGCUGGCAAGUUAGAGCUGGAAGUAGUCCCAUUUGACCUCAUUCCAACUUCUAGACGAUGUCCAACAGUAGUUUAUUCAUCAUCGUUUGUUCAUCAAUAACAUGCUGGCAGUGUUUGUUUCCGAUAAAGUUCCUGACAUUGUAAUGGGUGAUCCAGGGAGGUUCAGGCAGAUUAUUACAAAUCUUGUGGGCAACUCUGUUAAGUUCAUCGAACGAGGACAUAUAUUUAUCCACCCCCUCACUUUUUAGAUGUGGUUCAAGUGCAAUGAUGAAGACCCACAUCAUUGCUGCUUUUGCUUGGAAACCAUGACCAGGUUACUCAUCUGCUUUAGUGUUUCCCCUGCAUUUCACGUCAUACAACUCAGUUUGCAUCUUACUCCAUCUUUUUAGUAUCCAAACUGGAGGGUUGCACAGCUACUAUUUUUCAAACAGGCAUAUGCUCAGCUAGGCGAAUUUUGGUUCUCUUGGAUUCCUCUGUUCAAGUUAUCACAUGGCUCAAAUUAAGGUGACUCAUAAAUUGAUAUACAGAACUAUUACAUUGUUGAUGGAAGCAGCUUUGAUAGUCAAUGCAAUAGUGGAUAUUUGCUCAAUAUUCAAUAUUUAACCAAACGCAUUUCUUACUCAUCAAGGGGCCCAGUGCUGCGAUCCCAAAUGCAUGAAUUUGUUGGGGAAGAGAAGAAUGAUGAUGCUUGGGUGCAGUGUUCUCUGCAACUGGAAAAGGCAUCAGACAAAGAGGGGUGGUUUGAUAUUCACAACAGUGAUAUGGCCAAGCUUGGGCUGAGCUGUAUGACAACGACAGUUUUCGCGCAUCAUGUUCGCCACCUUUCUUGAUCAAAAGUGAUAUGUCGAACUAUGAGUGCCAGUGUGAAUGAAAAGUCCCACAGAAAUAGAGAUAACCAAAAUUGGUAGCCCUUGGUUACCAUUAUAAUAGAGUAUAGUAAAUUAGUAGGUAAUGGUGAUGUUUUGUAUAUCAUAUAAAAAUUAGCUCAGCUUGUACUUGAUAUGACUUCCAUAGUGCACCACUCAGUGAGAAAAUAUAUAUUUGCGAAAGCAUGGUUGAAUUGACGCUUGACCGAUAUUAUUGAAUUGUUCAGAAUGGAUGAAACGAAAUUUUGUUGA